CAUCUUGUGAUUUGCGAACAUACCGAAAUCUUUCGUGAAUUAUUUUCAAAGGACCAGCCUUUUUUACCACACCUUGCAUUGCGUCGCAUUUAGAACAGCGGCGCAUUUUUUUGCAAUGAUCAUUAAUUCUCUUACAUAUCUGUGACCGACGCAGAUUAUCAAUGCCAGGACGUCUCAAGUCCUUCAAAAAUUGGCGUUUUUCUUGGUCUGAUAGAAGAACUGAAGAACAAUCCUUACAUAUAUUUUGUAAAAUGGUCAACGUAGCC